CCUACGGGACGCACCAGUGGGGAAUAUUGCACAAUGGGCGCAAGCCUGAUGCAGCCAUGCCGCGUGUAUGAAGAAGGCCUUCGGGUUGUAAAGUACUUUCAGCGAGGAGGAAGGCAUUAAGGUUAAUAACCUUGAUGAUUGACGUUACUCGCAGAAGAAGCACCGGCUAACUCCGUGCCAGCAGCCGCGGUAAUACGGAGGGUGCAAGCGUUAAUCGGAAUUACUGGGCGUAAAGCGCACGCAGGCGGUCUGUCAAGUCGGAUGUGAAAUCCCCGGGCUCAACCUGGGAACUGCAUCCGAAACUGGCAGGCUAGAGUCUUGUAGAGGGGGGUAGAAUUCCAGGUGUAGCGGUGAAAUGCGUAGAGAUCUGGGGGAAUACCGGUGGCGAAGGCGGCCCCCUGGACAGAGACUGACGCUCAGGUGCGAAAGCGUGGGGAGCAAACAGGAUUAGAUACCCGCGUAGUC
rnacentral:rRNA from 1 species